AAAGCUUGUUAUGACUAAGAUUUAGUAUUGUGAGUGAAGAGAGGUUUCCAAGUUGAGAAGGGAUGGUGCCUUGUAGAUUGAAUUGAGAAGUAUCUAAGGCUGUGACUCUAUGGCUAUUGACAUCACAAGUGAUGCCAAUCUAGGUACAAACAGAGGCAUUCGAGGUCCAAUUAUGGGCUAAAAGGUUGGUCGGAUCAGAAAUUAUAUGAUCUUUCAGGGCAAGAAGAGCUUGUUGGUCUGUGGUAAUAUUGCUGCUUGCUGCUGCUGCUGCUGCAACAACCAAGCAAAGAAGCAGGCAGUGGGUUAAUGACACAAUGAUCAUACUGAGACUAAGGUUUCUCUCCAUGAAAGAUUGCUAUGUUUGUUACUGGUUAAUUUGGUAAUGCAAGGUGUUUUGCUUGCUGAAGAUAUAUAUAAUGCAAAUGUCAAUCUCGUGGUGUUUGUGAUUGUAACUAAGCAAGACUGGAAGAGAUGAACCGGCUGGUAGUAUUCACAUCACUCAGUGCCGGUCAAUUUAGGUACUUGUUUUUACAUCAUGGCGUCAUCUAUUCAAGUCAAGAAGAAUUGGAUGCAUUAGUUUUAGUUUUGCUAUCAAUGCUCAAUUGUAAUUAUCUUCUUUCUUUGGAGAGUUUUCUGUAGCCACAAACUUGCAUUUUAAAUAAUUGAUUACACAGGUAAGUGAAUAGUAUAGUAUAGAAAUUAACGUAUUUAUCUGUGCGUGGGAUUAUGAUUUUCUCUUGAUAUGAUUUUUCUGACUAAAUAUAUUAACAUGAUUGAUAGUUAGUAAAUAAAUAUAUAAUAAAUAAGUAAAUAUUGAUUGUACACAAAUAAAAGUACAUUUGUUUCAAAAAAAUCUUUCAAAGCUCAAAUAUAUAAGAUUAUAAGAGGAUCCUUUCCGAUGAGAAUUAAAUUUAUAUAUAUUUCCUCUUGUAUCUUCAAUUUCAAAUUUUAAGGACCUAUUGAUAUAAAUUUGAGUAGUCAAAUAUUGAUAUUUUCGUAUUUAAUAUUAUAUUAAGUAUUAAUUAUUAUUUUUUCUUUUAAAGGGAGAGUAUAUGCACCCAUAAAAAAUGCCAUCGCAAAAGUUUUUAAUUAAUUUUUUAGUAAAUUGGAAAAAAAUUAAUUUUUAUUUGCUAAAAAAAUUUUAUAUUGCCAAAAAAUAACCGCAAUAAUUCUUAUGGACCGAUUUAUCUUUGACACCCACUUCUGCAAGCACCCUUUCUCUUUCUCCAAAUAUUUGAUAAUUAAGGUUAUUUUCAACAACCAAAAAGUUAAAUGAAACAAAAAAAUUGAAGUAGUUUUUAAAUGGAGAUCAUCAGCCAUUGCCUUAUUAAAAUGAUAUCAUUAUGUAGAGUGGAUUGUAUGAGGAUAAUAUACAAGUCAUUUUACUUUCCAUAAAAGCCAAUAGUAGAAAGUCAAAAUUGAAUUUCAGCAAGGGAACAUUGUUACUGUUAUCGUUUAUUGUUUUUUUUUCAUCAUUUCAGCAACUAACAAGUAAAUUUCAAGUGAUGUAUCACUCAUCAGCAUUGCUGGAAUGAUUGUAAUCGUCAGUUUAACUCAUCCCUCUUAAUUUUUAUAUAUUUUGUUUUCUGCAAAACUACCGUAAAUCAAAGAUGUCACAAUUUUUUUUUUUUAAAAAAGCAUCUGAAAUCAUCAAAACCUAACUAUAAUGAUCAUGGUCAUACCUGUAUAUUUUACAAUAAAAACUGCAAGUAACUUGUUCUUCCUCCACACCUGUGCCAUAUAACAAUAAAGAGGGUCAAUUUUACUGGCAAUGAGAUUCCUCUGCUUCAUUCUAUUCUCUGUUUGCUAUUAAAUCUCCGCAAUGAGUAAAUGAAGAGUUUAUUGUAACUGAGUUCUCUCAAUCACAGUAAUUUGUAACUGUUAUUCAUCAUAGGAGAUCAUCUUAUAAGUUAUAACAUUAGAUUCCUUGAGAAUUAGCAUUACAUUAAACAUAGUGAGCCAUCAAAUCUAGUCUUUGUUAAAUUGGCCCUUCUUUCACUAACGUAACCAAAAGACUAGAGUCAUCACUGGAUGGUCUAGACGACAGUAAGAUUGUGUGCGCUGCGUAAUCUUUUUAACACCAUCACUUAUGGCAGGUAUCUUGACUCUCUGUAUAAGUAACAUAGUUGAAAACCAAAGAAAAAACAAAAGGUUUCCUCUUUCUUUCACUUGAAGUAAAAGCAAAAGCAAAAGCAAAUCCGGGGCUUAGCUUACUAAUUAUAGUACUAUAAAAGAGCUUACCAUAAAAUUCAGCUUAAUACUAAAUUCAAAUCCUGAACACUGACCUCUUUCCUAUGCUCGCAUUGUAUUGGUUUUGAAUUCAGUUGCAACUCAUUUGCCAAAACUUUUUCGCUUGCCUAUUUUGCUCAGUAAAAUAAAAGAAUUUUUAUACAUACAUUAACUUUUGUUACUCAUGAAUUUAAAAUGCGCAUAUCACCCAAACUUUAGGAAGAAAAAAAAGAUCAAAAAUAGUUUAUUAAAGUUUGGUCUUUUAGCAAUAUUUCAAAACACCCUCAUUCGAAAAUCAAUAAUUAUGUAUACAUAAUGUACCUGCAUUUUAAAAUACCAAUUUGAAAUUAUAAAAUAAAAUUGUACAUUGUGAGUGCAUCAACGACCACCAACUUCACCAAUCCGUUAAACAACCCAAUAAAAAGUGAAAAUUAAAGUAGUAAUUUAUAAACAAAUUAAAAUAAUAAUAAUAAUCAAUAGCCUUGUUCAGUUUGUAGAAAUGUAUACCGGUUAAAUGGUGCGAAGCCAGUGAUCAUCAUUUUGAGUCAAACUGCAGCCCAGAGUUCAAAUUUUUCUGUUUGAAAUUAGUAGUACUGGAUUAGUGUAUUUAUGGGUUUCCAAGCAGAAAAUAAAAGAAAAUAAUAUGUGCAUGUUUAAUUUACUUCAUAAACAUUUUGUUUAUAUUUAUUUGUGGUUAUUUAUAAUUGCCUACUGGUAUGCCUUUUUUUAUCUUUUUUAAUUUCUUAAAAGAAUUUCUUCCUUAUACUCAGCUUGCAAAGGAAGUACGAAAUUACUAAUCCUACGGUAUCCAAACUUAAAACUGUAAGGAAUAAGGCGAAAUCUCAAUCAAGUAGAACAAAAAUUAAAGAAAAAAAAAUUCCCAAUUGAAUAAUUUUUUUCCUUAAACUAUUGUAAUCUAUUCAACAUGCCUUUUUGUUUUUCUUAAACUACAGAAUUUUUUUCUUAUACAUAAAAAGUUUGCAUGCAACAAAUUAUUCACCAUGCAUGGAGAGGCGAUAGCAAUUAACAAAUUACUCUACAGACUAGUUCGCUUUUUACUAUCUAUGCAGUGUUUUAAACCUAACAAUAAUAUCACUAGGAUUGUUUUCUUAUUCUCUAAUCCGUUUUCGCAUAGGGAAAUUAAAAAAACAAAAAAAUCAGUAUACCUAUGGUUUCCUAAUUCUAAUCGGAAAAGGAUUUCUCAUAAUAUAAUUGGGAUAAAUGUUCGCUUACCCUCUACCGUUAAAGUUAAUUACCUACUAAAUAAUUUUAAUUACUCCAUUUAUUUUUCAAAUUGCUUAAAACACCCUAAUUAUUUUGAAAAAGAUAUUUGGUUGAAAUUGCUUGAGGAAUGUUGCCACUAAUACUGCAAUUGGUGAUGAGAAGUGUUUCCAAGGACAUAGAAAGAUUACCUAUUGAACUUGGAAGGAAGCCGUCAAGUGGAUUGCCUAUUAAGUUUAAGGAUCUUAAUUUCAUGCAAUUUGCCAAAGAGGAAAGAAAGCUCAAUUUUGAGGUUGAAGAUGUCAAGUUGUUAUAAGCCAAGCCGAGCCACUCAAGGUUUCUUAAAUUACCAAUUGUGUCCGGAAUAUGGCCCGAAAAUGUGUUUCCUCCCAACUUUAGAAGGGUGAGCUUAGAAGCAUUGGUGAUGGAACUAGGAAUGGUUCCAGAAAAUCUAUUAAGUUCCAAGUUAAGAUGCUCAACAGUUGGAAGUGAAAGGCCUAUUCUUGAUGGAAGACUUCCGAAGAGGGAGUUAUUUAUGAGGAUAAUUAUCUUCAAUGUUGACAUGUUGAAUAUUGGAGCUGAUACCACACCAACUAGGUUGUUCAUUCCAAGCGCUAAAGCCUCUAGAUUUCGAAGAUUAGCGAUUUCGUGCGGUAUCUCACCUGGAAAAUUAAUAUAGAUGCAAAAAAAUCUCACAUACAAGAUCUUAUCUAAAGUAUUCAAGAAAGAUAAUAUUUGUAUAGUAUUAUGAACAUACCGUGGAGUUUAUUGUAGCCGAGAUAUAUCCCUUUGAGCAUAGUCAAGUUGCCGAUUUCUUUCGGUAUUGCACCGGAUAAAUUAUUGAACUGCAAAUUUAAUUGUUGCAGUUGUUUGCACUUUGAUAAAGUAGAAGGAUUUUUGCCAUGAAACAUGUUUUUGUCUAAAAAAAGGGCUUUCAAAUAAGGAAUAUAGUUGCAAAUAUUUUUCAGAAGCUCACCGGAGUCUGUUAUUAGUCAAACGAAUGUCUAAUAUUGAAGACAUGUUGAAGACGAAGGAAGACACUGAACCAGAGAGCUGGUUAUCCGUGAAGUCUAGAAAUUUGAGCAACCUUCACAGCUUUGCGAAGAGUGUAUUGUCAGUAAGCAACAUCGAGAUAAUUUUCCAAAAGGAAAAUCCCGAAGGGCAAAGAAAGUGCUGGAGCUAGUGCAUUCUGACUUAUGUGGGCCAAUCAAGCCAACAUCAAAUGGAGGUAAACGAUAUUUUAUCUCAUUUAUUGAUGAUUUUAGUUGAAAAACCUGGGUUUAUUUCUUGCAAGAAAAAUCGGAAGCUUUCACAGCCUUUCAAAUGUUUAAAGCAUUAGUUGAAAGAGAAGCUGACAGCCAAAUUAAAAUAUUGCGUACUGAUUGUGGUAGAGAGUUCAACUCUCAAGAAUUUGGAAGCUUUUGCAAAAAUCAUGGAAUUAGAAAACAAUUGACAGCAGCCUACACACCUCAGCAAAAUGGUGUAUGCGAGAGGAAAAAUCGUACAAUUCUUAAUAUGGUACGAAGCCUUCUGCAAAGGAGUGGUCUUCCCAAAAGUUUUUGGCCUGAAGCAGUUGUUUGGAGUGUUUAUAUUUUGAACAGAAGCCCCACAAUAGCUGUUCAAAAUAUAACUCCUGAAGAAGCAUGGAGUGGAUGUAAGCCGGCAGUAGAUCACUUUCGGGUAUUUGGAUGUAUAGCACAUGUCCACAUACCAGAUGAGAAAAGAAGAAAAUUAGAUGACAAAGGUGUAAAGUGCAUUUUCUUGGUGUUAGUGAUCAUUCAAAGGCCUACAAAUUAUAUGAUCCCAUCAUCAAGAAAAUUGUCAUUAGUCGUGAUGUCAUUUUUGAUGAAGAGAAGACAUGGAUGUGGAGAUGCAGUUCUGUUGGGCAGCAAAUUCCAGUAGAAUGAAGAGAAGACAUGGAUGUGGAGAUGAUGUGGAGAUGCAGUUCUGUUGGGCAGCAAAUUCUAGCAGAUUUCGAUGGUGAAAUUGAAGAAAAUUCACAGCAACUUCAGCCUUCAACAGUCUCUGCUCCUGACCUGCCGCAAAAUAGAGUCUCAGCAGAAACUCCACCAGCAACAAAUGAACUUGAUGAACAAGUUGAAGCUACAGAUUCACGUUCUCAACGUGAUAGAAGAAGGCCUGCAUGGAUGUCAGAUUAUGAGGUAACAGGAUUUAACACUCUUGAGAAUCCACUCAUACACUUUGCCUUGUUUUCAGAAUGUGAUCCUACAACUUUUAAAGAAGCUGUCAAAGAAAAAAAAUGGCUAAAAGCCAUGGACGAAGAAAUUGCAUCCAUUGAAAAAAAUAAUACUUUGGAGUUGACUGAACUUCCAAUGGGGCAGAGGACAAUAGGAGUCAAGUGGGUUUACAAGACAAAAUUGAAGGAAAAUGGUGAAAUUGAUAAAUACAAGGCACGCCUAGUCGCCAAAGGCUACAAGCAAGAGUUCGGCGUGGAUUAUAAAGAAGUAUUUGCUCCCGUUGCAAGACUUGAAACUCUCCGGUUGCAAGACUUGAAACGAUCAGAUUGAUUAUUGCUCUUGCAGCACAAAAUUCAUGGCUUGUUUUUCAACUGGACGUGAAAUCAGCAUUCUUGUAUAGGGAGCUACAAGAAGAGGUAUUUAUCGAACAACCUCCUAGAUAUGUGAAAUUAGGCAAUGAGCAUAAAGUCUAUAAAUUGAAAAAAGCUCUAUAUGGACUAAAACAAGCACCCCGAGCUUGGUAUAGUCAUAUAGAUGCUUAUUUCUUGAAGGAAGGUUUUCGAAAAUGCCCAUAUGAGCAUACUUUGUACACAAAAAUUGGAGAUGAUGGGAAAAUGCUUAUGGUAUGCUUAUAUGUAGAUGAUUUGAUUUACACGGGAAAUGACAGAGUAAUGUUUGAGAAAUUCAAGGAAUCCAUUAUGCUUGAAUUUGAUAUGACUGAUCUUGGUUUGCUACAUUAUUUUCUUGGCUUAGAAGUCAUACAAUCUGAUGCUGGAAAUUUUAUUUGUCAAAAGAAAUAUGUGGAAGAGAUCUUGGAAAGAUUUCAAAUGAAGAACUGCAACUCUGUCACUACUCCAAUUGAAAAAGGAUUGAAGCUUGUUAAGGAUCCUGCAGGAAGAAUAGUUGAUAGUACCCUUUACAAACAGAUUGUUGGAAGCUUGAUGUACUUAACGGCAACUCGACCUGAUAUAAUGCAUGCAGUUAGUUCCAUCAGCAGAUAUAUGGAGCGUCCAAGAGAGGAUCAUCUUUUAGCUGCAAAAAGAAUUCUUCGAUACUUGCGUGGUACAGCUGAAUUUGGGUUGUUCUAUAAAAAGGGUAAAAAAUCAAAUUUGUAUGGCUUUACAGACACUGAUUAUGCUGGAGAUUUGGAUGACAGAAGAAGCACAUCUGGAUAUGUAUUUAUGUUUGGUUCAGCAGCUAUUUCAUGGUCAUCUAAGAAGCAACCGAUAGUUACUUUGUCAACAACUGAGGCUGAGUCGCAAUUUGAGGAAGAUUUUGCAGAAUGUUUAAACUGAAUGUUAAUAACAUUUAAUUUAAGGGAGGGAUUGUUGGAAUUUCCUUAUGUCAAUAAGUUGCUUUUAUGGUCCUAGUCUUUAGGAAGUUUGUUGGUAAUGUUAUUUGCAAGAUUGUGUUUACCUAGUCUUUAGGCUAUAGUUACUGGAAAGUGGCUGCAGUAUUUGCUGAAUAAUAGCUGCUAUUAUUUCAUUAAGUUUGUUCAUGUAACGCCUAUAAAAGGCAACCUCAUUGUGAAUAAAAUGAGUAGUACUUUCAUCCAUUUAUCCUUGCUUUGAGUGAACUAUUUCAUAUUCACUUAUAAUAAUUUUAGCGUAUGCAUGGUGUAGAUGGAGGAGGGAACGUUUCCAGAAAGCUUAUUAUGACUAAAAUUAAGUGUUGUGAGUGAAGAGAGGUUUCCAAGUUGAGGGAUGGUGCCUUGUAGAUUGAAUUGAGAAAUAUCUAAGGUUGUGACUCUAUGGCUAUUGACAUCACAAGUGAUGCCAAUCCAGGUACAAACAGAGGUAUUCGAGGUCCAAUUAUGGGCAAAAAGGUUGGUUGGAUCAUAAGUUAUAUGAUCUUUCAGGGCAAGAAGAGCUUGUUGGUCUGUGAUAAUAUUGUUGCUUGCUGCUGCUGUUGCUGCAACAACCAAGCAAAGAAGCAGGCAGUGGGUUAAUGACACAGUGAUCAUACUGAGACUAAGGUUUCUCUCCAUGAAAGAUUGCUUUGUUUGUUACUGGUUUAUUUGGUAAUGCAAGGUGUUUCGACUGCUGAAGAUAUAUAUAAUGCAAAUGUCGUUCUCGUGGUGUUUGUGAUUGUAACUAAGCAAGACUGGAAGAGAUCUAUUGACAUCACAAGUGAUGCCAAUCCAGGUACAAACAGAGGUAUUCGAGGUCCAAUUAUGGGCAAAAAGGUUGGUUGGAUCAUAAGUUAUAUGAUCUUUCAGGGCAAGAAGAGCUUGUUGGUCUGUGAUAAUAUUGUUGCUUGCUGCUGCUGUUGCUGCAACAACCAAGCAAAGAAG
rnacentral:lncRNA from 1 species